GGACGGGUGAGUAACACGUGGGCAACCUGCCUGUGAGACUGGGAUAACUUCGGGAAACCGGAGCUAAUACCGGAUAAUAUAAGGAACCUCCUGGUUCUUUAUUGAAAGAUGGUUUCGGCUAUCACUCACAGAUGGGCCCGCGGCGCAUUAGCUAGUUGGUGAGGUAACGGCUCACCAAGGCGACGAUGCGUAGCCGACCUGAGAGGGUGAUCGGCCACACUGGGACUGAGACACGGCCCAGACUCCUACGGGAGGCAGCAGUAGGGAAUCUUCCACAAUGGACGAAAGUCUGAUGGAGCAACGCCGCGUGAGCGAUGAAGGCCUUCGGGUCGUAAAGCUCUGUUGUUAGGGAAGAACAAGUGCGAGAGUAACUGCUCGCACCUUGACGGUACCUAACCAGAAAGCCACGGCUAACUACGUGCCAGCAGCCGCGGUAAUACGUAGGUGGCAAGCGUUGUCCGGAAUUAUUGGGCGUAAAGCGCGCGCAGGUGGUCCUUUAAGUCUGAUGUGAAAGCCCACGGCUCAACCGUGGAGGGUCAUUGGAAACUGGGGGACUUGAGUGCAGAAGAGGAAAGUGGAAUUCCAAGUGUAGCGGUGAAAUGCGUAGAGAUUUGGAGGAACACCAGUGGCGAAGGCGACUUUCUGGUCUGUAACUGACACUGAGGCGCGAAAGCGUGGGGAGCAAACAGGAUUAGAUACCCUGGUAGUCCACGCCGUAAACGAUGAGUGCUAAGUGUUAGAGGGUUUCCGCCCUUUAGUGCUGCAGCUAACGCAUUAAGCACUCCGCCUGGGGAGUACGGUCGCAAGACUGAAACUCAAAGGAAUUGAC
rnacentral:rRNA from 1 species